rnacentral:lncRNA from 1 species
AUUAGUUUACCAUUUAUAAAUUCAUAACAAUUUUAAUUUAUUUAAAAUACUAUUUAAAUUAACAAUAAAAUUAAACAAUAUUUAUUUUGAAUAUUUUCAAAAAAUUAAUUAACAUUCAAGAGUCUUGCCUACGCAAAACGUUAUCUAAAUUUUGCCAUUAAAAUUUAACAAAAAUUUAUUUAAAGCGAUUAAUUGAUUUAACAAAUAAUUUUAAAGCUUAAUAAUGACAAUAAAUGACAAAGAAUAAUAAUAAUAAAAAAAAUAUUUAGUUACCCACUAUGUAUUUAUCAGUAAACCAAAAACAAAAAUCAAAGCAAACAAAGAGAAAAUUACGCCUGGACAAAGGGGUUACAUCUCAUAUUUUUUUUUCAUUAAUGGAAAAACUCAUUUUCGGCGAACGAUUCUCCGGUGAAACACUAGCAAAGAGAGAGAGGCGACAACCAUGGUUUCACCAUAUUUGAGAUUUUUUCGGUGUGAUGGGGAUGACAGUGAAGGAUAAAAGGGAAAGGGCCGCGUCAGCGGGUGAGAGAGACAGGCUGGCGAUGGUGGUGGCUCGCCGGAAAUGGUGGUUCCGGCCAGAUCUGCCGCUAGAGAAGGGAAGGAAGAGGAGGGGAAAGGCACCGGCGCAGAUCCGGCAUUUGGAUGGAUCUUGUUUUGUUGGUUCUGCUGGAGUUAUUCUAGUGAAUAUUUUGGCGAUUCCGGUAGGUUUCACCGGAGGAGAUGAUGAUUCCGGUGAACUCCAACUCGAAAAAAAAUAAAAUAAAAAAUUUAGUCUAAGCUAUUUUGUUCCUUCUUCUCUUUUACUAAUAUUUCUUUGUUUGUAUAACUAUGAGUGCAUUUUCUUCCUUUUUUUUUACUGUGUAUCUAUGGAUUUGUGUGUAACAGUGUGGAGAAGAUGAAUAGGUGUACUUGUACGGUAAAUGCAAGAAAAUCUACAGUAUAUGAAAAUAGUCUGUACUACUAUUUUUCUUUUUGUUUUAAUUUUAAACCAAACAAUAUCAUGCACAAAUAAUUUUUUUUUAUUAUUCAACACAGUACAAUCAUAUAAAUAUUCAAUAAUUUGAUAACAUAGCAUAUCAGAAUAAAAAGUUUACAUAAUCAAUCAACUAUGAAUAAUGGAUAGCAUUUUUUAUUCAUGCUUUUCAUAAUAACAUCUAUUUAACAUCUAUAAAAUAAAUGUUACAUGAUUAAAUAAGAACAUCAAUCGUCACCGGAACUCCAAUGAAUUACUAAAUUUCAACUCCACACCUUUUCUUUCUUUUGUUUAUCUGUCGGUUUCUUUUACUAAAUUUUUUACUGGUUUAUGGAUAUCUUUUUUCUGGUUAAUGAUAGAGAAAAGUACCCUUUUUUGUCUAAGUCUGUAUACAAUAUCUAGUUUUUGAUAGUGAAUCUACAUGGUUUGAGGGGGAAAGUCCUUAAAUAAUGGGACUUUUGGGGGAAAAUAAAAGGGGAAUAGUUACUUAGGAUUAAGAUCAGAUAAAACAAAUUCAAAUAUCAAAUUAUAUUUAUUUAUUAUAUACUUUUUAAUAGAAAAUAAUAGAAGUAAUAAAGAUAAUAAUAAUAAAUAAACAAUAAAUAAAAAUAAAAUAAUAAUUAAUUAAUUUUAUAUUUAACAAAACAUAAUAACAACAUAGACAAAAACAAAUAUAAUAAAAUAAUAUUAAAACUAUUAAUUUAUUUAUUAAAAUUUAUAAAAGAAAACAUAUAUAUUUUUAAUUUUAUAUUAUUUAAAAUUAAAAUAAAAAUAGAAAUAAAAAUCAAAAUAAUAUAUGAUUAAAUGUAAAUAUAAAUAUAAAUAUUUAAUAUUGAUAGACAAGUUAAAAUUUAGGGAGGAUAAAAAAUGAUGUGUCUACAUUUUUGUCCCUCUUUGUGUGAAAUCUCGAAGAGUUUUCAUACAAAGAAGUAGAUCUGAUUUUUGACCCUUCAAUUUUUUGAAAGGUAAAAAUAAAAAUAAAAUAAAAAGAAAAAUAUGACCGAGUCCUAUUUUUGGACAUCCUACCUAUCCCGGGUUAUAAGAGAAUCAGGUCACGAAUAGUUCAAAGGUAGUAUGGAGAGAGAAAGAGUUAAAGUCGAGUGAGACUCCGUCGAGUUUCCGAUUGACUACUUCUGCUUUUUACAUUCAAAUGACUAACCAAAAAAAACAUACAAGUAAAAAUUGUAAUCUCUAUAAUCUUGAUUCGAGCCUUCGCGACUUGAAUUCUAAAAUUCACCCUAUUUUUCAGGCGGGCUCCUAGACUUACAACUUUUUUCUUCACCCUGUUCUUCAGGAGGGUUCCUAGACUUACAACUUAUUCAUCCCGUUCUUCAGGCAUGCUCCUAGACUUACAACUUCUUCACCUUGUUCUUAGGCGGGCUCCUGGAUUUACAAUUUCUUUACCCUAUUUUUCAGGCGGGCUCCUGGACUUUCUUUUUCUUCACCCUGUUCUUCAGGCGGGCUCUUCAACUUGCAAUUUCUUCACCCUAUUUUUCAGGCGGGUUUCUGGACUUCCUUUUUCUUUACCCUGUUCUUCAGGCGGGCUCCUGAACUUGCAAUUUCUUCACUCUGUUUUUCAGACGGGCUCCUGUACUUCCUUUUUCUUCACCCUGUUCUUCAGGCGGGCUCCUGGACUUACAAUUUCUUCACCCUGUUCUUCAGGCGGGCUCCUGGACUCAAAGUAAAUAGUGAAACAGAAAAAUAGCAUCCCAUUCUUCAGGAGAGUCUUGGAUAUAAAAUAAAUUUCCAUUCUUCAGGAGGGUCCUGAGCAUAAAAAUAAAUUACCAUUCUUCAGGAGGGUCAUGUCCCAUUCUUCAGGAGGGUCCUAAGCAUAAAAAUAAAUUCCCAUUCUUCAGGAGGGUCCUGAGCAUAAAAAUAAAUUCCCAUUCUUCAGGAGGGUCCUAUCCCAUUCUUCAGGAGGGUCCUGAACAUAAAAUAAAUUCUCAUUCUUCAGGAGGGUCCUGAACAUAAAAUAAAGUCCAUAUAACACACAUAAAAUUUUUGUCCCAGUUUGUACCGGAAAAAUUUAUGUAUCACUGGAUCUUAAUAUACCUUGCAAGGAAUAAAGUUUACCAUGACCGAGAUCCAGUAUUAGAUGUUGUAACCAUGCUCCUUGCAUUGAGAGAAGUGGGAAAUUGCAUCCUUUAUCUGAAAGCAAUUAUUUCGUCUCUGUUCCAAACAAAGAAAAAUUGUGAGUUUUAAAACAUGUGGUGGUUGAUUUGUGGCAUUUGGCUUUUGAAAUGGCCGCUGUCGCACUUGUCAUGCUCAACUCUUUUCCAAUCCAUGAUAAUAUUCAUUGAAUUGUUAUACUUCUAACUCAGAGUUCUGACUACUGAGAUCCUCAACUCAAAUCAUAUGUCUGUUGUAUGAUGCUUCUGAGUUUAGCUUCCAAUACAUCCCCUAGAAUUUCACGAGUUUAAAAUGGUCAAAUCACAGUCAUCUUGAGUGUCUUACUUUUACUUUGAAAUGUUGACUCUGUGCAUCGACCCUUUGUCUUACUUUAUGAAAUUAGGGAGUUGGUAGCAAGUUUUGAAGUUCUUUCUCACUCGACCUGACGUGAAUUUUACUCAAAAGACAACAAAAAUUUUUCGUUUGAUGACAAGGACAUAAAAAAUAAAAAAUAAAAAUAAAAAGACAAUAGGCAUCUCUUUUUCAAAAUAAAGAGAAAACUUAUCUGAAUGUGAAACCGAUUCUGGUGAUUAUGACAUGCAUUUUGAAUCAAACAACCAGAUCUACCCACACCAAUCAUUACAACUUUUGUCCACUUAUUGAGCUUGAAAUUAAGCCAAUCUUGAACUUGUUCCUUCUUGAUAACAACCUUUCUUCGGCUAGUGGCACCUCAAUGGGUUUUUGCCAACAAGCCUAUCUCCUUUUCAUUUUUGUCUCAGCUCACAAUCGUCAUAUGGUGCCCGAAAGGGUUUUCACCAAUAAGACUCUCUCAUUUUUAUUUUUUUCAAUUUUUUAAAUAAACACCCAAAAUAUGAAAUAUUAUACACUCAUAACAUGUUUAGCCUUGACAUUCUCAAAAAUUGAUCCGAAGGUCUUUCUUUGGUUGUAACUUGGCUUUUGGAUAGGGUUAGAAAGAACGGUCGGCAUGAGGCUCAAAAAUUUAUAUAACAUUAGGUGAAACAUACAACUUUUGGAAUCGAUUCUUUUAAGAAAAUAAAUUUUUGCCCCAGUUCCAUUUCGUUCUGGGUAAUUUGAAUUUUCUUCUGGUUAGACCGAACCCCGAAGUAGGGCUACCUACGUAUCUUGUCAUAGCAAGAAUCAGGUCAAACGUAGUUCAGAAAACAUCAUUCUUUGUUUGAUUUUGAAUUUUUGAUUGAUUUUUUUUUAAUAUAUUUUUUUUUUCAACUUUUUUUUUUUAAUUUUCUGACUUUAAUUUGAUUUCAAAAGAGGGGUACGAAAAAAAAAAACUCAAAGGGGUAAGCAAAGGUUGAUAUAUUAUUCGGAUAGUAGAACAAAAUGCCUUCAUCAUUUCAAAUCUUUAAAAAUGUAAGUACAAAACAUACAUAACCUAAUUGUACAUGAAUAUCAUACAUAAUAUCUUUUAACUGCAUCUACAUUGACCAGCAUUCCUUCCAUUUUGCCUUCUAUAUCAGUCAAAUAUAACACGCCAUUAGGUAACACUUUCUUCAGCAUGAAUGGUCCAUGCCAAUUAGGAGAAAAUUUGCCUUUGGCUUUAAUUCGAUGAGGUAGGAUGCGUCUUAGUACCAACUGACCAACUUCAAAAUGUCUGUGACGCACCUUUUUGUUAUAUGAUCGUGUCAUUCUCUUCUGGUACAGUUGUCCAUGACAUACUGACGUCAAUCUUUUUUCAUCUACCAAGCUUAAUUGCUCCAAACGAGUCUUGACCCAUUGGUCCUCAUCAAUUUCAGCUUCUACAACUACUCGAAGAGAUGGAAUUUCAAUCUCUGCAGGUAUAACUGCUUCAGUUCCAUACACUAACAAGUAAGGAGUUACACCAAUUGAAGUCCAAACUAUAGUACGAUAACCUAACAAAGCAAAGGGUAACUUUUCAUGCCAUUAUCGGGAACCCUGCACCAUCUUACGGAGAAUUUUUUUUAAGUUCUUGUUGGCAGCUUCUACAACUCCAUUCGAUUUUGGAUGAUAAAGAGUUGAAUUCCGAUGCAUAAUCUUAAAUUGCUGGCACAGUUCUUGCAUCAGAUGACUAUUGAGAUUCGCAGCAUUAUCCGUGACAAUUAUCUUUGGAAUGCCAAACCGACAAAUGAUAUUGGAGUGAAUAAAAUCAACCACCACUUUUAUGGUCAUUGACUUGAAAGUCGCUGCUUCCACCCACUUCGUGAAAUAAUCAAUAGCUACCAAGAUGACCCUAUGUCCAUUUGAAGCUUUUGGUUCAAUUGGUCCAAUUACGUCCAUUCCCCAAGCCACAAAAGGCCAUGGAGCAGUCAUUGUAUGCAACUCAUAUAGAGGGGAAUGUAUCAAGUCUCCAUGUACCUGGAAUUCAUGAUAUUUACGAACGAAAGUGAUAGAAUCUCGCUCCACGGUGAGCCAAUAAUAACCUGCUCGGUGUAUUUUCUUUGCCAAAACAUACCCACUCAUGUGUGGUUCACAAAUCCCAGAAUAUACUUCAGUCAUGAUUUUUGAAGCUUCUUUAGCAUCUACACACCUCAGAAGUCCCAAAUCAGGAGUCCUCUUAUACAAGAUUCCUCCACUUAGGAAAAAUCCACUAGACAAACGUCGAAUGGUUAUCUUUUGAUUACCAUCGGCAUGUACAGGAUAUUUUCCAGUCUGAAUAUACUCUUUGAUAUCAUGGAACCACGGCUCCCCAUCAAGUUCUUCCUCAACCACAUUGCAAUAUGCAUGUUGAUCAUGAAUCUGUAUAUGCAAAGGGUCAAUAUAAGUUUUGUCGGGAUGUUGAAGCAUCAAAGAUAAGGUUUCCAAAGCAUCAUCAAUCUCAUUAUGAGCUCUGGGAAUGUGUUUGAACUUUAUUGAUACAAAUUGUUGACAAAGAUCUUGCAAACAACCUCUAUAUGGUAAGAGUUUCGAAUCACGGGUCUCCUAAACUCCUUGGAUUUGGUGGACUAAUAAAUAUGAAUCUCCCAAUACCAACAGUUCUUGAAUCCCCAUGUCAAUGGCUAAUCUUAAUCCCAGAAUGCAAGCUUCGUAUUCUGCCAUAUUAUUGGUACAGUAGAAUCAAAGUUGGGCUGUUAUAGGAUAAUAUUAUCCUGAUUCAGAAAUAAGAACUGCUCUUAUCCCCACUCCUUUUACAUUAACGACUCUAUCAAAGAACAUCUUUCAGCCUGAAUGACAAUCAUAAAAAAUAACUUAUCAACAUACAAUACCUCUUAAUCUGGAAAAUUAGUCUUCAAUGGCUCAUACUCCUCAUCAAUAGGAUUUUCAGCCAAAUAAUCCGCCAAGGCUUGAGCUAUCAUUGCAGUUCGUGUCACAUAAAUAAUAUCAAACUCUGUGAGCAACAUCUACCAUUUCACGAGUCUUCCUAUGGGCAUAGGCUUCUAAAAAAUCUACUUUAAAGAAUCCAUACGAGAGAUAAGGUAAGUAGUAUAAGAUGACAAGUAAUGUUUUAGCUUUUGGGCUACCCAAGUUAAGGCGCAACACGUCUUCUCAAGAAGAGUGUACUUAGCUUCAUAAGUGGUAAACUUUUUGCUGAGGUAGUAGAUGACUUGUUCUUUUCUGCCCAUGAUAUCAUGUUGGCCCAAUACACAGCCAAAAUAAUUGUCUAACACAGACAUGUACAAUAUCAAAGGUCUGCCUGGCUCUGGAGGAACCAAAAUAAGCUGAUUCGACAAGUAUCUCUUAAUUCUGUCAAAUGCCUCUUGACAUUCUUCAGUCCAUUCAACUUUAGCAUUCUUCUCCAAUAACUUGAAUAUUGGCUCACAGGUUGUUGUAAGCUGAACAAGGAAUCUACUGAUAUAAUUCAACCUUCCAAGUAAGCUCAUCGCCUAUGUUUUAUUUUUUGGUGGAGGCAAAUCUUGAAUAGCUUUUAUUUUUGAAGGAUCUAACUCAAUGCCACGUCGACUCACUAUAAAACCCAAGAGUUUUCCUGAUGGAAAUCCAAAUACAUAUUUUGCUGGGUUAAGUUUAAGAUCAUACCUCUGAAGCCUUUUAAAGAAUUUUCUCAAAUCUUUGACAUGAUCAGAUUGCUCUCUCGACUUAAUGAUCACGUCAUCUACAUAAUCUUCAAUCUCUUUGUGCAUCAUGUCAUGAAACAUUGUGGUCAUUGCCCUCAUGUAAGUUGCCCCAGCAUCCCCAGCAUUCUUUAGUCCAAAAGGCAUGACUCGAUAACAAUAUGUCCCCCAUGGCAUUUUAAAUGAUGUCUUUUCCGCAUCUUCUGGAUCCAUAAUGAUCUGGUGAUACCCCGUAUAACAAUCCACAAAAGAUGCAAGAUCAUGUUUGGCACAAUUGUCCAACAAAAUAUGGAUAUUGGGAAGUGAAAAUUAUCUUUCGGACUCGCCUUAUUUAGAUCACGAUAAUCAACACACAUCCAAACUUUGCCGUCCUUCUUUGGAACAGGGAUAAUAUUCGCCAACAAAGUAGGAUACUGGGCCACUCGAAUGACUUUAGCCUCAAGUUGCUUUGUGAUUUCCUCUUUAAUUUUUACACUCAUGUUAGUUUUGAGCUUUCUUAGCUUCUGUUUGAUAGGAGGAAAAACAGGAUUAAUUAGCAACUUGUGAACUAUCAAAUCAGUGCUCAAACCGGGCAUAUCAUCAUAAGACCAAGCAAAGAUGUCUUUAUACUCAUGCAAAGCUUCAAUUAUAGCUUUCUUUUGUUAUGGUUGAACAUGUACACUUAUCUUAGUCUCCCUAAUAUUUUCAUGAUCUCCUAAAUUGAUCGCCUCAGUUCCUUCCAAAUUGGGAUUUGUCUUGUUCUCAAACUCUUUGAAACCUUUGCUUGUAUCUUCAAAUGUUUCCUAUUCAUCGUAUUCAACCUCCUUAUUCAUUAUUUCAAAAUUAGAUUGGGUUUUUAAAUCUGGUUGACAAUUCUUCAUGCAUGUCAUAUCAUUAGAAUCAACAUAGAAAGACCUGUAUGAUAGAAAAUAAAUAAAUAAAAAUCAAACUGAAAAAUAAAAUAAAGGAAAACUACGCUUUAUUAGAAACAUAGAUAUAAAGAGUUUUAAUCUAAAAUACCAGAUUUAAAGUUCUGAAUUACAAUCCUAGAAUGAUUUAAAUUACAGGGGUAAAAACAAACAAACUACUAAAUUGUUAAGCUGAACAUCAGGGCCGACAAACUGCACAUCUGCAUUGCUGGUACCUUUCCCAAUUUCAACCAUAUCAGCUUCAAUGAAUAUAUUCUGAAAAAGGUCUAUCAACUCUGUAUCAUCAUCAUUCAUUGAUUCUGCAACAGGUAACUUGGAGGAUCCAACAAUAAUAAAUUUGAUGAAAUACUCUUGAAGUGGCGGUAUCGGCUUGGUAAGUGACCACGACUCUUUAUUACGCUUUUUAGCCUUCUUUAUAUCUUCAGCAGUAGGCUCGUAUCCCAGACUAAAAGUAUCAAAGUUCUCAUAGAGGUUUAUCGGAUGAAUAAUGCCUUGCAAAAACAUCCCUCGAGGUUAUGCUCAACAGUCGCUACCUCAGAAGCUUGAUGAAUUAAUACAUUGGCAGUAUCUGCUUCGAUGGAGGAAACAGAGUAGUCUUUAUACAUGGAUAAGUCUCCUUCACCAUGAACAACCAUCUCUUGCCUGUCCUAUUCAAAUUUGACCAUUUGAUGCAACUGCUUUAGCCCUAUGAAUCCAUGGCCUUCCCAAUAAUAUAUUAUAUGAAGCAUCAAUGUUCAGCACUUGGAAAUCCAUAGCAAAAUCUACAGGCCUAAUUUUCAAUAUGAGUUCUAUUUCACCAAAGGCAUCAAUUUUUGAUCCGUCAAAACCCUUGACGCAUACUUUGUUAGGUCGAAUUCUCUCCACAUUAACAUUCAACUUAUGCAAAGUUGACAUAGGACAAAUGUUAGCACCUGAUCCUCUAUCAAUUAACACUCGAAUGACGCUGGAGUACUGACGUUUUACAGUAAUGUAGAGACCCUUAUUAUGUCCAGUAACUUCCACAGGCAAUUCAUCGUCUGAGAAAGUAAUCUUAUUUGCUUCAAGGAUCCUUUCAACAACUUUUUUCAGUUGAUUCACUUUAAUCUCACUGGGAACACAUGCUUAAUUAAAAAUCUCCAUUAUAGCCUUGCGGUGUUCCUCUGAAUGUAUCAAUAAAGACAACAAAGAAAUCUGUGCUGGUGUCUUCUUCAACUGUUCUAUAACAGAAUAUUCUGGCAAUUUCAUUUUCUUUAAAAAUUCUUCAACUUCUUCAUCAGUAAUAGGUUUCUUGAACGUCAUUCGUUCUUCACCGCCUUUUUUAUUCUUUCUUAACUCUACUGGAGCAUAACAUCUUCCAGAUAGAGUUAAUACCUUCACUUUAUCUACAUCUUCAGUCACUUCUUUCCUCUUGUGCAUCACCACAACGCGAUCAUAAUUCCAAGGGAUUGCUUUGGUAUCAACCACAGGCAGCUGUGACACUGGUUUAAUAACAAUAGGAGCUACGGGAGCUCCUUUUAUGAUUAAGAGAGGCUUAUUGGAUCUUCCGGGAAUAAUGUGUUUCGGCUUUAUUUGACUUGACCCAAUAUUUUCUGAAAUCUCUUUCCCCAUCACCAAGGGAGCAUUCGAUGAUUUGGGUUUUACUAUCACCACCUUCGCUUCUACAGGAUUUUCUUUUGUCAAAUCUACAGCAUUUGCUAAUUUUUCCAAAUUAGUUUUAAUUUUAAUGCUCGAAUUAAAGGAAAUCGUAGCAUCUUUACCACAGAGUAUCACUUCGAGCAUGUUUGUUUCAUUAUGAUCUGGCAGCGGAUUUUGAUUGACAUUUGGAGUACCUAUACUUUCUACCAUAAUCUGUUGGGUAUUAAUCAACUCUUGAAUGGCUCUUUUCAGAUACCAACAUUUCUCUGUGUCGUACCCUGGGGCAUCAGAACAGUAUUCACAUCUUCUAGAAUAGUCCAAAUUCUUCGGAGAAAGAUUCGAGAUCCUUCUCUCAAUUGGGUUUAGAACAUUCAUUUUUUUCAGCCUAUGAAAUAAACUGGUGUAAGAUAUUCCAAUAGGAGUGAAAUUAUCUUUUACCAUGUUAUCCCUUUUAAAUUCUGCUCUAGGCUGAAAAUUAGACCUCGGAGGGCCUUUUUGAACUUGCAGGGCCAUUGGAUGAUUUUGGAUUGCUGGUGCACGCCAUUGCGGGUAAGAAGGAGCCUGAGCAUAUGGUUGUGCAUUGUAAAUAGGAUAUUGAGGGGAUGUAACGAAAUAUAAUGGAUUCUGUGCGUAUGGUUGACGCGCACCUCUCUAAUUUUGUCUUAGACCUGUCACGACAGUUGUUACAUCCUCUUUUCUUUUCUUUUCUUUUCUUUCCCCCAAAAUUUUCUGCACCACUUUGAAUUGCCUAUGUUGUUGCUUUCAAAGUGGCCUGGCUGAUGAUCUUUCCUGACUUUAUUCCAUUUUCUACCAUCUCUCCAACUUUGAUAACUUUAGCAAAUGUGCUUCCGAUAGUAGAGAGCAAGUGAUGAAAAUAAUUAGGUUCUUGUGCUUGCAUAAAAAUAUCAAUCAUUUCAGAUUCUUUAAUUGAUGGUCUGACUCUUGAAGCCUGCUCUCUCCAUCUGACGGCAUAUUCUCGAAAACUUUUGGUCAUCUUUUUUAUCAUGUUGGCAAGUGUAGUGCGAUCUGGCACUAUCUAAAUGUUAUAUUGAAAUUGUUGAACGAAAUCUCGAGCCAUGUCAUCCCAUAUGUGCCAACGGGAAAUGUCUUGAUCGAUGAACCAUUCAGAAGCUAUCCCUGUAAGGCUUUCUCCAAAGUAAGCCAUCAAUAAUUCUUCUUUUCCUUCUACUCCCCUUAAUUGAUUGCAAACCUUUUUCAAAUGAGCUACCGGAUCGUCGUGUCCUACUAUUCCUCAUUCUUGGCAAUUUUCUCAAUCACGAUAGGUGUAUCGUGUUAAUGAAUAUAAUAAGGUAGAUUUUGGGAUUUGAAAGUCAUUUCAGGAGGAUAUAUCAUUAUUUGGUUUUUUCAUAUUCUUCGGUACUGUCGGUUGAGUACCCGCAGUAGCUGGUGCUACAGAAGUAAAAAAUAGGUUAUUUGCGACAGAUGGAUUUGGUGGUCACAUGGUAGAAGUACCAACAACUCCAGGCAUAUUAGCAAAUGGGCCAAAUCCUGGUGGGUAAAAUGGAUCACUAGUUUGAGCUGGGUCAGAAUUUGGAUCAUUUGAAGUUGAAAGUCUAGGGAUUGAAGAAUGCGGGGCUUGUCCAUUCAAUCAAGCUUGGUACAUCUCUGCCAUCUAUUGUUUUAAUGACUUUAUUUCGUCCAUUGAUGCUACUUCCUGCGAAAUCAACUAAUUCUGCUCUUCUUUACUAUCAGACCCUAUACCUUCUACGUGGGUCAUUCUUUUUUUACCCUUGUAUCUGGUGUUAUACGGAUGUGAUGCCAGUUUAAACCACAAACCAACCACCAAUAACUUUAUCUUUUUGUGACCAAAGCAAAUUGGUGAGUGUUAUAUAUUUAACACAUUAUAAUGCCACGUUAUAUGUCAUGCUUCUAUAUGCAUUUUCCAACCUAUAAUGGAAGGCUUUGUGUUUCAUCCCGGCUUUUUAGGAGUUUUUUUUUUCAAAAAUUAUAAUUGAACCCUUUGGAGGGUUGCCUACGUAUCAUGCCAGGACAUGAAUCAGAUCUUACGUAGUUCGGGAGGAAUUUAGCAAAAUUGUUUUGUAUUUUUGUUUUGAUUGAAUAAAUAUUUAAAGUGAAGUAAAACAUAUGUAAUAUAUAAAGAAAUAAAUAGUCAACUUCAUUACAUUCUAUAAUAUAAAUACGACAAAGUAACUACCCAACUCCUAAAAUAAAACCUACUAACUGACAUCUGAAAAGUAAAAGACAUAAUAUCUAAACAAGAAAUUUUAAAACUAAAAAAAAAAGAGAAAUUAUGACAAAGAAAACAACUAUCCCUUCAAGGAAACUUCGGUUUAAUAUGUCCUCCCAAACUCAAAUAUAUGUCCUCCAAUGAAGUAGUGAGACGCUGUGCAAAAGUUGGUACCUGUGCCAAAAAGACCUCACGAUCCAACUGCUGAUAAUCCAAACCCAUUCUGGUAGUAUCUUGUGCUACACUGCGGACCUUCCCUUGAAGGGAACUGAAAGCUUGAUCCCAUUCCUGGGCCUGUCGAUCUCGGAAAUCAACCAUCUCUCUUGCACGCUAUUCACGAGCAGAAGCAACCUCCAACUGUUCUCGCAAUAUUCCUCUUUCACGAAUCCACUGAGAUCUUUCUCGAUCAAAUUCUUCUUGCAUAUUCUUAUCAACUUCUUAAAGUUGUUGUCGGCGAGAUGUGGCAAAUUCUGCAACGUGUGACCCCCUAGUGGUAGCAAGCUUGAUUUGUCCCCGAAGUGCAACCUCAAUAUCUGCUUACUUUGCUUUCUCUUCAGCAAAUUCCCUUUGUUGUUCGUCUAUUUUUGCCCUGGCAUGCUUUAAUUCUUCUCUCAAAGCUUGGUUGGCCUCAUGAUGUUCUCGCAUGGCUCUCUCAAUUCCUAUCCUAAUUGCAGCUUCCUGAUCUAUAGGUCCCUUAAUCGAUCUUUAUGGUCUGAUUGGCAGACUCGAUUGUUCUUCAAAUUAUUCACGAUAAUUUGGGUGCACUUCUCCUUUCUUGCGCUCUAUGACCAUCGUUUCAAUCCCCAUAAUACGGCAACCCUCCCAAAUCUGCUGGGCCAAAUCUUCUGGAAGUGGAAUAUCUGGUCUGACCUCAAAUACAAACUCAGUCAUGUUUUCCGUUAUGGAAAUUAUUUGAAGCCUACCUAGCUGACGUAGAACCCUUAAUGGAACAUACGGUUGAACAUUUCUAAUACCAAUUAAUAACAAGAACGGACGAAUGACAGAACUAUGUAUGACUUGCCUCCAAGGGAACCAAUGGAGAUUCCAAGUGAUUUUAUCUGCUGUCAAAGAACGAAAAAGCUUAACCCAAUCUCCAAUUUCUUUUAGACAUUUAUAUUUCUCCAUCCUUUCCUCGUAAUCAUUGAUGCGAUUAAAUUGCUCAGGAUCGAACCUUGUCAAUGUAGGACGUUGAUAAAGAUGCUCCACAAUCCACAUCUGUAACAAGAUAUUACAUCCUUCAAAAAAACUCUUUCCCUUCUAACAAACAGUCAGAGCACGGUAAAUAUCAGCUAGGAUCAUUGGUACCAUAGUGUAAUCUUUCUUAAUCAGUAUCUGUACCACUCCCGCUAAACGAAUAUUAAUUUUUUCUUCUCUUCUUGGGAAGACCAUUGUGCCUAAAAAGGCUACCAUGAAUGCAAAUCGUCUGUAAAUUUUUCAAGCCUCAAAACUCCCUUUAUUACAAAGUUAUUUACCGUACUUUUCAAACCCCUCUUGCCUUCCGUAUCUGUCAUACAAAAAUUGCAAGGAAACCCAACCUUUUUUCUUUGAUUCUUCUUUCGUAUUCUGUAUGUUCAUGAGCUUGCAUAAUCUAUUUAUUGAAAUAAGUCUUGGGGCUAUAAGUUUCUUCCAAUGCAUAUCCCAUAUCCAACAUAGUCCGCUAUCUCUUCUAAAGUAGAUGUCAACUCAAAAUCUGAAAAGCGGAAUACAUUAUUCUUCAGGUCCCAGAAAUUCAGUAAUGCAACAAUCACCUCUCUAUUUGGGUUGAUUCUCAUGAUACUCGUCAAAAAACCUAAAUACUUAUGUAUCUCGUCAUAAUCGAAUGUUAUCCAUUUCGUUCCACCAGAACCAAAGUUGCAGAGUGGUACAAUCCACAACCUAAAGUGGUACACUCCCAUCUCUCUUCUCUUUGGACGCUUUCCACGAACAGGGGUGGACAUUUUAUACCUAUUGACAGGGACAUAAGAUUAAUAAAUAUCUAGACUUAAAUAAAAGUUAAUUUAUUAAUUUUGAAAGGAAUUUAUAACUUAACUUGUAAAACCUAGUGCGACCAUUAUUUGGACUUAGUUGCAAAGAACAAUUUUAUCAAAAAUCAAAGCGAGAGAAACAAGAUUGAUAAUAUUUUUUAAGAAAAACACUUAUUUAAAUUGACUCUAUCAAAAACUUUGCUAUAACAGACUUCUAGACAAUUUUAUCUAUAUGUUUGAAGACAAUAUUCCCUAAGUACAAAAAUAAAAUAAAAGGACUCAGAAAUAAAAAAAAAAUAGAAUAACCGUUUUAUGUAUGAUGUUGUGUAAAAAUUUCAGUCUUAUGACCCUAAAGGUUCAGGACUGUUAUAAUUGAUAUAUAUAUAUAUAUAUAUUUUGUAAAAACUUAGUCUCAUGAUCCCUAAAGACUCCGGGCUGUUAAAAUACAUAUUUUAUUUUUAUUUAUUUUGUAAAAACUUAGCCUCAUGAUCCCUAAAGAUUCCGGGCUAUUGAAAUAUAUUAUUAUUAUUUUUAUUAUUAUUAUUAUUAUUAUUAUUUUGUAAAACCUUAACCUCAUGAUCCCUAAAGAUUCAGGGUCGUUAAAAUAUAUAUAAAAAUUGGACUUGAGAAUUAAGAAAAUAAUUAUGAAAGUAAUCACAUUUUCAAAACAUUCCCCAAUAAAUCUAUGAAUAAUUUUUCAAAAGAUAGGGUCGUAUCCUGGGAAGGACUUCCUACGUAUCUCACUAAAAUUUGAGAAUCAGACCCUCGUAGUUUCGUAAAGAUUGUAAAAACUGUGUUGCUGUAUAUUUAAAAAUUUUCUUAAUUUAAAAGUAAAAUUUUUCUUUCAAAAAUGAUUGACUAAAUUUAAGGAUAAAUUAAUCUCUCUCAUUUUAAAAUUGUCUAAAGUCGGUCAACAAAUAAAUAGCCAAAUGUCAAAGAGCACAUAGGAUGCACAUGUUGGUCUUUAUAAAUUAGGUCAUUUGUCCUAGACAGACCCGACCCCUGUGCCGAAUCCCGCUAAGUCAAAUGCAUAUGAUGCAAAUAAAGGGCACCUAAUAGGGAUAACCAGAUUCUGAGUUUUCAGUGUUUCUAAGUUAAGCCUAAUAGGGAUAGGUGUCUAGACCGGCUUACCCGAGCGGACACUCGAGUCGGGGAGGGACAACUUGGUCGGUAGCAGAGCAACGCCGCCUUCAUUGUCGAUCCGAAUCCCGCCUAACAUGUGUGACUAUAUCCUUCACCAGGUGCCCUGACACUCCAGCUAUCUAUAAAAAAGGUGGGAUGCAUAUGCUGCAUUCCCUCUAUCCUAUUUCAGAGACUUAAAGGGGAUACGCGAGAGAAGACAAUAAAUAAUACAGUUCAAAUAAUAUCAAAGGAGUAAAUAAGCGACAAGUAGCACGUAAGGCCAACAAACACAAUAUCAAUAAUAAUUAAAGAAAGUAUAAGUCAGUAUAAAAAACUCGAAUUCUUGUUAUAUCCCUAGCAGAGUCACCACAGAUGUCACACUUCUUUUUCGCUCGAGGGACCAGUCGAAGGGUUUUUCCAAUUAAAGUAACGGUUUUGAAUAGGGAUUAAUUUAAUUUACAGAGUUGCCACUUGAAAUUGAGUUAUGGUGUUCCAAGUCACCUUUUUGAAUCCCUAAUCAAAAGGAAAUGACUCUUUUUAUUGGUCUGUGAAAAUAGAAUACCGGGUAAGGAAUUCUAUUGACCGAAGGGAAGGUGUGAGGCACCCCUUGAGUCCCGUGGUUCUAGCACGGUCGCUUUAUUGAUUUAUCUUAACUUAAACUAUUUUGAUAAAUUGUGUUAAGGCCUACGUUCGCUCAUUUUUAUAUCUAAAAUUUAUCUAUUAUUAAAUAAAUCGAUAAAAAAUAAUUUUUAAAAAAUAUUUGUCAAAGUACGUUAUUGCAUCCUUGAAUUUAAAAUGUCUCAUGAAGAUGCGUACGCCGCAUUCUUAAUUGAGACAAACAUUUCAAAUAUGCCUAAAAUUUAUUUAAUGCUAAAGACAUUGGUUUACCAUUUAUAAAUUCAUAACAAUUUUAAUUUAUCUAAAAUACUAUUUAAAUUAACAAUAAAAUUAAACAAUAUUUAUUUUGAAUAUUUUCAAAAAAUUAAUUAUUUUAUACUUGUUUAACAUUCAACAGUCUUGCCUACUCAAAACGUUAUCUAAAUUUUGCCAUUAAAAUUUAACAAAAAUUUAUUUAAAGCGAUUAAUUGAUUUAACAAAUAAUUUUAAAGCUUAAUAAUGACAAUAAAUGACAAACAAUAAUAAUAAUAAAAAAAAAUAUUUAGUUACCCACUAUGUAUUUAUCAGUAAACCAAAAACAAAAAUCAAAGCAAACAAAGAGAAAAUUAUGCCUGACAAAAGGGUUUCAUCUCAUUUUUUUUUAAUGGAAAAACUCAUUUUCGGCGAACGAUUCGCCAAUGAAACACUAGCAAAGAGAGAGAGGCGACAACCAUAGUUUCACCAUAUUUGAGAUUUUUUCGGUAUGACGGGGAUGACAGUGAAGGACAAAAGGGAAAGGGGCGGCGCCGGCGGGUGAGGGAGACAGGCUGGCGAUGGUGGUGGCUCGCCGGAAAUGGUGGUUCCAGCCAGAUCUGCCGCUAGAGAAGGGAAGGAAGAGGAGGGGAAAGGCGCCGGCGCAGAUCCGGCAUUUCGUUGGAUCUAAUUUUGUUGGUUCUGCUGGAGUUAUUCUAGUGAAUAUUUUGGCGAUUCCGGUAGGUUUCGCCGGAGGAGAUGAUGAUUCCGGUGAACUCCACCUCGAAAAAAAAUAAAAUAAAAAAUUCAGUCCAAGCUAUUUUGUUCCUUCUUCUCUUUUACUAAUUUUUCUUUGUUUGUAUAACUAUGAGUGCAUUUUCUUCCUUUUUUUUACUGUGUAUCUAUGGAUUUGUGUGUAACAGUGUGGAGAAGAUGAAUAGGUGUACUUGUACGGUAAAUGCAAGAAAAUCUACAGUAUAUGAAAAUAGUCUGUACUACUAUUUUUCUUUUUGUUUUAAUUUUAAACCAAACAAUAUCAUGCACAAAUAAUUUUUUUUUAUUAUUCAACACAGUACAAUCAUAUAAAUAUUCAAUAAUUUGAUAACAUAGCAUAUCAGAAUAAAAAGUUUACAUAAUCAAUCAACUAUGAAUAAUGGAUAGCAUUUUUUAUUCAUGCUUUUCAUAAUAACAUCUAUUUAACAUCUAUAAAAUAAAUGUUACAUGAUUAAAUAAGAAC